CACGUAGGGCGCGAGCGUUGUCCGGAAUUAUUGGGCGUAAAGAGCUCGUAGGCGGCCUGUUGCGUCCGCUGUGAAAGCCCGGGGCUUAACUCCGGGUCGGCAGUGGAUACGGGCAGGCUAGAGGUAGGUAGGGGAGAAUGGAAUUCCCGGUGUAGCGGUGAAAUGCGCAGAUAUCGGGAGGAACACCGGUGGCGAAGGCGGUUCUCUGGGCCUUACCUGACGCUGAGGAGCGAAAGCGUGGGGAGCGAACAGG
rnacentral:rRNA from 1 species